rnacentral:snRNA from 1 species
GUUGAUUCCUGAAUAUAUACUAAAAUUGGAGCAAUACAAAGAAUUAGCAUGGCCCUUGCGCAAGGAUGACACACAAAUUCGUGAAGCGUUUCAAAAUUUU